rnacentral:rRNA from 1 species
GACGAACGCUGGCGGCGUGCUUAACACAUGCAAGUCGAACGGAAAGGCCCCUUCGGGGGUACUCGAGUGGCGAACGGGUGAGUAACACGUGAGUAACCUGCCCUUGACUUCGGGAUAACUUCAGGAAACUGGGGCUAAUACCGGAUAGGAAUCCUUGCUGCAUGGUGGGGGUUGGAAAGCUUCGGCGGUUUUUGAUGGACUCGCGGCGUAUCGGCUUGUUGGUGGGGUAGUGGCUUACCAAGGCUUUGACGGGUAGCCGGCCUGAGAGGGCGACCGGCCACAUUGGGACUGAGAUACGGCCCAGACUCCGACGGGAGGCAGCAGGGGGGAAGAUUGCACAAUGGGCGGAAGCCGGAUGCAGCAACGCCGCGGGCGGGAUGACGGCCUUCGGGUUGUAAACCGCGUUCAGCAGGGGCGAAGCUUGUGGUGACGGUACCUGCAGAAGAAGCACCGGCUAACUACGUG